UACGAAGGGUGCAAACGUUGCUCGGAAUUAUUGGGCGUAAAGAGCGCGCAGGCGGUCGUUCAAGUCGCGUGUGAAAGCCCCCGGCUCAACUGGGGAGGGUCACGCGAUACUGAUCGACUCGAAGGCAGGAGAGGGUAGUGGAAUUCCCGGUGUAGUGGUGAAAUGCGUAGAUAUCAGGAGGAACACCGGUGGCGAAGGCGGGUCUCUGGGCAGUAACUGACGCUGAGGAGCGAAAGCGUGGGGAGCGAACAGG
rnacentral:rRNA from 1 species